GGCUGACCGUGGCGGAUCACUGCUGAUACAACAUGAAUUAACCUCGUAUUUAAUAGGUAUUGUGUCUUAUGCUUAUAAGUGCGGCACAGCUGGGUAUCCCAGCGUUUACACUAGGGUCACAUCGUACCUUGACUUCAUUCUCCAAGCGAUGCAAUAAUAUGAUAUUACUGUUCCAUAAAUAUCAUUGUGUAAAAAACGUAAAGUUGGAUUUUCUUAUUGUGGAGAUAAGAAACAGCUCAAAUUUACAUUGUUUUGUACGUUACAAAUUAUAGGCUUAAAAUGUACGAAAUGUAACUUUGAAACGACACUAAUUUUUUACGCACGAUAAACCUCCACGACUUAGAUUAUAGAUUCCUAUACGACUCUCAGUAAAAAUUUAUCCGCACUCCAGAUAGUUAAAACUUCUGUCGACCGUAUUGAUCCAUCUGCACUCUUCGUAUGACGUCAAUAUCUGUUCAGUGCUGCUGCGCAGGUUUCUUUGUGUUACGUCAAUUCGUUUGUGACCGUUGCGCGAGUAAUGGCGCUUUGCAAUGGUGAUUUGCAGGAAAACAGUGCAGGAUGCUGUGAUUCGUUUCUUGUGGUCGGAGGUUAUGUUUGAUGCCUAUAUUUAUCAAAGAUUUAAUGCACAUUAUGGAGAAAGUGUUUUGUCACGAAGUGUGUUUGAAUGGGCACAAAAGUUCAAAGAAGAUCGCACAAGUGUUAUGAAAAAACAGCUGGACGCCCGUCCACAUCCACGAUGACAACAUUGAACGUGCUCAUGAACUUAUGCUCUAUGGAAUAGACGAGUGACACUGGAUAAUGUGGCAAAUCAUUUGCAAAUCAGCCACGGCUCUGCUUAUGCAAUAGUGCACGACAGAUUUGGGUUUUAAAAAGUUUGUGCGAGAUGGAUGCCGAAAAAGCUGAUGAAAAGGUGAAGACGACGAUGCAUUCGUGGUUCGCAGCUCAGCCCAAAAAAUUUUUUAAUGAGAAAAUACGAAGGUCCUUCGGCAAAUGGACAAAGUGUAUACAGAAAUCGAGUGAUUAUGUUAAAAAAUGAUGUAUGUCUUUUUUGACAAUUGCUUAAAAUAAAUUCUACACCGACAGAGCGGGCUGUUAAUCUAGAGGCUGGAGUACAAAGAAGUGGCACAAUGAUGUGGGCUGAUGACAUUUAUAAUUAUCAAGGAAUCACCCCUACAUUCGCUCAGAAUUUUAAUGAAACUGUCCCUUGGGAAGGAAGAACUGAUACCUUGAUAUCACGGUUUGUACAUCCUAUAUAUACGACAAAUUUUAGAACAUUAUAUAACGAAGAACCAGAUCGUCGUGGCCAUGUGAUGUGAAUAAAAGGACUUGCAUCUGAUGAUAUUUUUAUAAUGUUAGAUAACAUAACUAAGCAUCUUCACAGUAAGAUAGGAUGACAUGGUUUACAUGAUCUUAAUGUUGUUCACUUGAGUGAUGAUAUUAUAAGGAAAAGUGUAAUAUCACAGGAUAUUUAUGUUUAGUAACCAGUAAUUCAGAGAUUGGUAUUCAUGGUUACUAUAACGAGGCUGUAGAAACGCACCCUUUCUUCUUUGCAAAUGGUCCUGUAUUUAUGUCUAAGCCGAAACUGGAACCUCUGAAUAAUUUAGAUUUAUUCUUGUUAUUUUCUAAAAUACUUAUCUACAGUAUACCAUAAGGAAUGAUACCGUAUCGCACCUAAGCAAGUGCCUUAAGAAACAUCAACAGGAUAUCACAGUAAUCCCUUAUCGACUGAUAUUUGUAGCCACUACAAUAUCUAUGACACUGGUAGUAAUUAUAAGAACAAUAACGAUGUUCUAUAAGAGGAAAUGAUGAUUAGGAACAAAAACUUACAGGAGAUAUCAUGCGGUGGAUGGAUAAUAUGUAAAAAAUAUUAAGCAGUAUAUGAAUUUUCAUAUUGCGUAGAGAUAACAAAAUGAAUUUUAAAAAAUGUCGACAUGGUAAUAAGAAAUAGCAUCAUGACAAAGAAUAUAUAAAGACAGUUUCAUUUUUUAUAAAUAAAAAUUUGUUGUUCCAGAUUUUGAAAUAUAGUGAAACGUUUAAUUAGUAUCUUAAUAUCUUUAAAUAAUUAUUAUUUUAGAAUCAAUUGUAAUUGUAUCAUACGUACUUUUGAAUUCGUACAAGAACAUAUGUUAUUUUGAAGUAGUUAUUAUUAGGAAAUUGUUAGACGCGAACAGUAUGCGAAAAGUUAGUAUGUAGUGUAAUAAUUAUCACUCAAAACACAAGAAUUAAAUUCUUUAGGAAAAAAUUUCCGGAAUUUCUUAUUUACACGAUUAUAAAGAAAUCCAUAAUAAAAAGGAGCUGCUUUCUAAUACUUCUCUUCCUUGUAAUGCCUAUGUUAAUAAUAACGAGAUUGAACAAUAUUCCAGAUUUAUUCAUAAUUUCAUACUACGCGAAGAAUAGACUUUCAUAGGUAUAUAAAGGAAAUAUUAAGUAUAGGAAAACUCUUUUUCAUUGUAGGUGACAUAUGCUUCACGGUUGAACGUAUUUUUGAACACAUAUAAAUGAAAAAGUACUCUUAUGGAGAAAAAGAAUUGAUACCUUCGAUUGACAUUAGAUAAUGUAUAUAAACUUAUGAACAAUCACUAUCGGUUUGUAUUUUUGGUGCACACGCAGAUUUGUUGGAGUUCUUAUAAAAUGUACUUCCUGUACGAACGUUUUAUUCUUCCAAAUUUUACGAUACUAUGUCUCAUAUAAUAACUAUAUGGAUUAAACGUAAUAUAAAUGAUCCGAAAAUAGACUCGAACGACAUUAAUUGUCUUUCUAUUUAUACCAAUAUCGAAAAUACAAGUAAAGCUGGAACAAUAGUAUGCAAGAAUGGACUAUUUAUUAUUUUAAACCAAAUCAUAGCAUAUUCAGAAUGCACAGUAUUAUCAUGAAAUGUAAAUGAAUCAGUUGUAAACGAACGAUUUUACUGUAAAAUCAUUGCCUCCUUUUUUUCAUCUGAAAUAUAGCAGCAAUGAGUACAUUCUUUUAAUAUAUAAUAAAACGAGAUAUCUUUAUAAAGUUACAUAUGUCAUCACUGGUAACUGUUAUCUCGUAUGACACCAAAUAUACCGUUAGUAUGGAAUGAUAUUUUUAUGAAGAUAUACUUUAAUGAUAGAUUUUAUGAAUGAAACGUUAUAUAAGAAAAAUUAUCUCUUGUUAUUCUAUGAAGUGUAGUAGCUAAUGAAGAUUAAUUUUACGAAGUAUUAGAGCAAAAGAGAAUUAAAAAAUUAAAAAGAUCUAAAUAAGAUUGUUCGUGUGGCUUAGUUAUCUCAAUUCUGGUACACCACUUGUUACAUUCUAACUAAUUAGCGCUAAACAAUAACUUGCAAAUAUUAAAGAUAUUAACACCUAAAGGUUUUCAGGAAAUUUUAUAAUAUUUGAUUAUUGUAUAUCUAGUCAUUGAUUGAUAAAAUUUCUUGUAUAAGCAUAGAUCGAGGUUGACGUCAUACGCAGAUUGCAUAUCAUUGACAGAACAAUGACGGGCUCCAAGAUGCUGUUCGGAUGUUUGGCGUUAAUUGCUUUUCUGCAUCCAUUAGUUCACGUUUGUACUUCGAGUAGUACAGCUCAAGGUUUGUACUUCGAGUUGUCUUUUUCCAUGCACUUCAAAUUCCAAUACGAUCUGGUCACGUGGCCUUCGUACAAUUUCGAAAUUUUACCUGCUUGGUAAUCGUCAAUGAAAAAAGAAGUUAUGCGUGACCUCAACACAUUGAAACAAUUUUUAUGAUUUUUUAUUUGCCGGUUGGUCAGCAAGUUAAUGGAAAAAUUUCACUUAACUAUUCGCGUUAAUUUCUUCGGUUUAACUUUUGGGAAAUGCUUCGUUAGCUGCGGGAAUAUUUCAACGAUUCGUUUUACGUACAAAAUAAGCAUGAUAAAUAUUACAUCACGGUAAUGAAAACUAUUGGCGUAAUACCUAAGAUAAAGAUGCAGAGACAUUCUUAGAAUUUCUAAUGACACCUUUAUAGAUUUCUCGUUUAAUAUCGCUACUACAUUUGAAUCACUUUUACCUAACGGUGUCACAUAGUCUCGUUGGAAAUUUGUCAAAUUCCUUAAAAUGAUCACUGAAAAUUUUCCUAAAUUUCCAAGAAUUUAUUUAUCACGAGGUAAAGAAAAUGUGUAUUAGAAAGAUGAGAUCGAAGGUUUACCAUUUUUUCAAUUAUGGCGAACGCAAUAUGUAAUCAAUGAAAAUUUUAUAUUUUCACGUUGAAAGUUUCUUCAGAUAAUUAUUAUCCAGAUGAUGACUAACUCUUACGAAUUAAUGCGUGUCUGUAGGAUAAUCCGGUAGACUUGAUCCGCUUUUUAUAUCGAAAGUUGAGCAAUCGGUGACGCGUUCUUAUACACCGAACCGCGAAAAGCAAAAUUUCAUAUGAUCUCACCAAUUUCGGAUGUCAGUCAAAUCAGUCAAAUCAGUCAAAUAAUAAGUUCGCGUUAAUAUGCACGUUCGAUUUUUGAGAAGCUUGUUCAAUUUAAUAAGAGUCUUGGUAACAGGCUUAUGUUUUUAGACCUAAUUGGUUGUUUUCAUUUACAAGUACCUCGUGUUAAAGUACUCAUAAAAUGACAUUAAAAUCAGAAAACUAAUAACUGAAAGAUGAUCAUUUUUCCUCUGUGGUAGUUUACAUAUAACAUAAUGCAACUAACAUGUCACGAUUAAUGCAAAAUAAAUAAAUUACUAAUAUAGACAUUUUUUUAGUAAUUUGUAUAAUCGUGAAACGAAUUGGACUUUCUAAAGGCAAAUAUUAAAGGAAACAUGGAAUUGAUGCCAAAUCUAUCACAAAUAUUAUUUAUACUACUUAUUUGCGCAGUUUGAAGCGAAUCAAAUUGAUGAAGGUUUCUUUGUUACAUGUUAAUUUACAUUUUAAAAGACAUAACAGGCACGCUAAUUAGUUUGCUUAAGAUACUUUCGAGAUACCAAGUUAGACGCGUUUCCAUGAAAUCAUAUCAAUUUUACGAUGAUAUUUUUCUAUCAAGCAUGCAAUUAUAACCGUAUCGUUGAUUAGUGCAUACAAUUAUCCAUGUACAUUCGUCUUUCCGAGUACCGCGCUUCAAUAUUGCUAAUUUCAAAUUCGUACAUUAAUGUUCGUAAAUGCUUGAAAAUGCUAUAUAACUGUAUCAGCUUCUGUUAAAAACAUUUUAUAGUAAAAUCUCUAUAAAUUUGUAGUAUUUUUUAGACAAUUUGAAUUCAUUAUAUUAUACAUCAUACAUUCUAGUCAUUUCUAAUUAAGUUAUUUUUGCGAUGUUUAAUUAUAUUUUAUGUAUAUUCUUAUAACUCUCUAUGUUACGGCGCGUACGAUGGUCCGUGCGCCGUCUGAAGCUUUAUACUAUAUACUGAUCUACUACAUACUAUAUACUAUAAACUGAAUCCUUUGACGUAAUCUUAAUAGCUUGAAGGAAUCUCUAACCCUGUAAGUGUUUUCGGUUUAUGGAUGGUCCUUAGAACAAUGCUUAGGUUUAUUGCGCACUCUUACAAAUAACGGAGAAAGCGGGUAGUUAUUUUUCCAAUAUACAAUGUCACCCACGAGCCACGUUGGUAGGAGGCUUCCUCCUCCUAUUUUCAUUCAUUAACGUUGGCUAUAAUCAAUGGGCACCCCCACUUUCCUAACGAAAAGUGUGAACAACGAAUCCGCGUUCUUCGUUCAGAAAGCACACCCACACUGAGAUUUCCUCUCGUGGCGGCACACGAGAACGCAAAUCUCACCACUCGAAACCAACUAGUGUCGGACGACGGCAGCGCAGUGGUUAGCGCCAUAGAGUACAAACGUUCGGAUCCCGGGUUCAAAUCCCGGCGCCUCGUACUUUUCCAAAGUGCGAUUUUUCUUCCACGACAUCUAAAUAAGAAGAAAAUACAGCAGUACUACACCCCGGCAAGCGACAUCUACAGCCAGCAGCCUACAAUUAUCACGGAUAUAUGAAGGAAGACGGAGAAAAAGAAGAAAAAAAGUGUGUUUCGUCCAGAGCCUGCUAGUGGACUCAUCAGUAAGGCUUACCUAGCAGGCUCAUGCCUUAGACACAAUGGAAGGAGGGGGAAACAAAGCUAUGUACAUGGCAGAGACAUUGAAGACGGAUUCCUCCCUCCCACGGCUGGACACUGUAUCCAAGGCCGGUCGGAUCUCCUACCCUCUCUUGCGACGUAUCCCAGUGGAGCGGCCCCACUCUUAAUCUAGUUUGGUGGGAAAGGUUCGCGUACACACCGUGUUCUUAGGUCCGAGGCGGCUCC